CCUACGGGAGGCAGCAGUGGGGAAUUUUGGACAAUGGGGGCAACCCUGAUCCAGCCAUUCCGCGUGAGUGAAGAAGGCCUUCGGGUUGUAAAGCUCUUUCGCAAGGGAAGAAAACUUAUGAUCGAAUAAAUCAUGAGGUUGACGGUACCUUGAUAAGAAGCACCGGCUAACUACGUGCCAGCAGCCGCGGUAAUACGUAGGGUGCGAGCGUUAAUCGGAAUUACUGGGCGUAAAGCGUGCGCAGGCGGUUUUGUAAGUCGGAUGUGAAAUCCCCGGGCUCAGCCUGGGAACUGCGUUCGAAACUGCAAGGCUAGAGUGUGUCAGAGGGGGGUAGAAUUCCACGUGUAGCAGUGAAAUGCGUAGAGAUGUGGAGGAAUACCAAUGGCGAAGGCAGCCCCCUGGGAUAACACUGACGCUCAUGCACGAAAGCGUGGGGAGCAAACAGGAUUAGAUACCCUGGUAGUCCACGCCCUAAACGAUGUCAACUAGUUGUUGGUAGAGUAAAAUCUAUGAGUAACGUAGCUAACGCGUGAAGUUGACCGCCUGGGGAGUACGGUCGCAAGAUUAAAACNCAAAAUGAAUUGACCGGNUGAGAGAGCGAGACGACGACGAGGGAGGAGG
rnacentral:rRNA from 1 species